GCGGUUGCAUCGACGUCAUCGCAUUACGUCAUAAAAAGUUUUUGGAGGACAACCUCCCGAAAAUUUACAUGGCGGCUGCACAAAACUCUCAGUUUAGCUUUGCUCUCUUAGCAGAGAAAGCGAAUUAAGCAACGUUAAUAGCUAUAGACGAUCAAAGGACUCCUACCUGAACUGCUGCAGAGGAAAUGAGUUUGAUAAGGUGUGCUCCUCCUCUCGAUGAUAUGGUACACAGAUUUGGAUGCUUGCUUCUGUCAUCUUCUAAGCUCAAUAAUUAAUAAGAGAUGCAGUGUUUUUUGUUGUUAUUUACUCUUUUUUUUUGGUCAACCAACAUUCAUUAUUAAUUGCUCAACCCAUAAUUAUUUAUUAAUGUU